rnacentral:lncRNA from 1 species
UAACAUACCUGCCAACUUUUGAAAGUGCUCAUGGGGGUUUUUGUGCGCGAAAACAAUUUCAAAGGUUACAAUACUUUGCGACAACUAUUUUGCGCGUGCUGUUUUGUGGUCUAGAAAAAGUGUCAUAUUUGUAAGAUGAGCUUACAUGACUUUUUCUUAAGUUUAUUUGCAUCAUUCUAGUUAUUAUAUAUCAGUAGAAAAGAUGAACAUGUCCUAAGGGACCGGUCAAAAUUUCUUGAUGCAUGGGACCGGUGCAAACUGUAAUGGGACAAGCACUUUUUGCAGUGUUUACAGGAAUGGGGGGACUCAAUGUUUUUUCAUUUUUUGGCAAGCAUGGGACAUGAACUUUUUGAAACAAUGUCUGUAUAUGAAAAAAAAUUAUUUGAUAAAUCUAUAACAAACAAAAAUAACAUCAUGAACAUCUAGCAAUGUGAAUUUAACAGUUACAACAUAGCAAAUUCAUUUUCAAGAUUUAGAGAACAGUGAAGGCA